GGAAGCAGGUACAUCUUUACAUGGCCAGCAGGAGAGAGAAUGAAAGGGUCAUACUUUUCUGUGUCUUUGGACGUCCAGUGACUUUUGGGCAGGACGUUGUUGAUGACGGCAGCCCUGCAUCUACUGUCACCCUCUAAACAGCACUGACUUUUGUUCUGGGAUGAAUUCUGCCCUCCCAAAAUUCCUGCGUUGAAGCCCCAGAUCCCAUGGUCACUGUUUCAGGAGAUGGGACUCUUAGGAGACAAUCGAGAUUAAGUGAGGUCAAAGGGAGUGGCCCUAAUUUAACAGGCUGAUGUCCUUAUUAGGAGAAAAAGAGGCACCCAGAGAGCGCUCCCUGCCAGGUGAGGACACAGCGAGGGGCUGCCUUCUGCGAAUGGGCAGGAAGCCCUCACCAGAAACUGCACUUUCCGGCACCUUAAUCUUGGACUUCCACCCUCCAGAACGGUUACUCCCGCUCAAGGUGAGGAACAAGCCCUCCACCCGCUUCGGGGCCGUCAGCAC
rnacentral:lncRNA from 1 species